CUUAAGCUGAGCGGUUGCCUCUUUAUAAAUUCACAAUGUGUCGCUUUUAUUUGCUAUUGUUGCUAUUUACUGGCUAUUUAUUAUUGACAAAUGGACAUACAAUCAAUCAAUCAAAUGAAGAGACGCAGCCUGAACUUGACACUGGCUUCCCUGCGCUGUCCUUGAUGGUCUUUGCCAAUUCACAGAAUCGACUAUGGCCAUAUAAAAGACCACGAACGUAGAGAUAAACUAUUACUACAGUAACUAUCUCAACUGUGGACACGUGCCAUUAACACAAAGUAAACACGGAUACAAAACACACUCACACACACACAAAAACAAACAACAGGCAACAGAUUUUUAAUCAACAUGCGCAUAAUGGAAAAAUCUUAUGGCAACUUCAACGAUAAUCAUUGGCGCACGUGACGUCAAAUUAUGACUUUCAAUAUUGUGCGAAAAUUAUGCUGAGCAAAAAUUUGCAUAUA